AUUGAACGCUGGCGGCAGGCCUAACACAUGCAAGUCGAGCGGAUGAAGGGAGCUUGCUCCUGGAUUCAGCGGCGGACGGGUGAGUAAUGCCUAGGAAUCUGCCUGGUAGUGGGGGAUAACGUCCGGAAACGGGCGCUAAUACCGCAUACGUCCUGAGGGAGAAAGUGGGGGAUCUUCGGACCUCACGCUAUCAGAUGAGCCUAGGUCGGAUUAGCUAGUUGGUGGGGUAAAGGCCUACCAAGGCGACGAUCCGUAACUGGUCUGAGAGGAUGAUCAUUCACACUGGAACUGAGACACGGUCCAGACUCCUACGGGAGGCAGCAGUGGGGAAUAUUGGACAAUGGGCGAAAGCCUGAUCCAGCCAUGCCGCGUGUGUGAAGAAGGUCUUCGGAUUGUAAAGCACUUUAAGUCGGGAGGAAGGGCAGUAAGUUAAUACCUUGCUGUUUUGACGUUACCAACAGAAUAAGCACCGGCUAACUUCGUG
rnacentral:rRNA from 1 species